rnacentral:rRNA from 1 species
UUUGAUCGAUGGCUCAGAUUGAACGCUGGCGGCAGGCUUAACACAUGCAAGUCGAGCGGUAACAGGGGGAGCUUGCUCCCCGCUGACGAGCGGCGGACGGGUGAGUAAUGCAUAGGAAACUGCCCAGUAGUGGGGGAUAGCCCGGGGAAACCCGGAUUAAUACCGCAUACGCCCUUUGGGGGAAAGCAGGGGAUCUUCGGACCUUGCGCUAUUGGAUGUGCCUAUGUCGGAUUAGCUAGUUGGUGGGGUAAGAGCCUACCAAGGCGACGAUCCGUAGCUGGUCUGAGAGGAUGAUCAGCCACAUCGGGACUGAGACACGGCCCGAACUCCUACGGGAGGCAGCAGUGGGGAAUAUUGGACAAUGGGGGCAACCCUGAUCCAGCCAUGCCGCGUGUGUGAAGAAGGCUUUCGGGUUGUAAAGCACUUUCAGUGAGGAGGAAAACCUUACGACUAAUACUCGUGAGGCUUGACGUUACUCACAGAAGAAGCACCGGCUAACUCCGUGCCAGCAGCCGCGGUAAUACGGAGGGUGCAAGCGUUAAUCGGAAUUACUGGGCGUAAAGCGCGCGUAGGUGGUUUGAUAAGCGAGAUGUGAAAGCCCCGGGCUCAACCUGGGAACGGCNUUUCGAACUGUCAGGCUAGAGUAUGGUAGAGGAGUGUGGAAUUUCCUGUGUAGCGGUGAAAUGCGUAGAUAUAGGAAGGAACACCAGUGGCGAAGGCGGCACUCUGGACCAAUACUGACACUGAGGUG